CUACGGGCCGCAGCAGUGGGGAAUAUUGCACAAUGGGCGCAAGCCUGAUGCAGCAACGCCGCGUGAGGGAUGAAGGCCUUCGGGUUGUAAACCUCUUUUAGCAGGGAAGAAGCGAAAGUGACGGUACCUGCAGAAAAAGCACCGGCUAACUACGUGCCAGCAGCCGCGGUAAUACGUAGGGUGCAAGCGUUGUCCGGAAUUAUUGGGCGUAAAGAGCUCAUAGGCGGUUUGUCACGUCUGCUGUGAAAAUCCAAGGCUCAACCUUGGACUUGCAGUGGGUACGGGCAGGCUAGAGUGCGGGAGGGGAGAUGGGAAUUCCUGGUGUAGCGGUGGAAUGCGCAGAUAUCAGGAGGAACACCAAUGGCGAAGGCACAUCUCUGGGCCGUAACUGACGCUGAGGAGCGAAAGCGUGGGGAGCGAACAGGAUUAGAUACCCCUGUAGUC
rnacentral:rRNA from 1 species